AAGCAGGAGGUGUCAGAAAAGUUACCACAGGGAUAACUGGCUUGUGGCGUCCAAGCGUGCAUAGCGACGUCGCUUUUUGAUCCUUCGA
rnacentral:miRNA from 1 species